ACGACCUUACUUGAACAGGAUCUGUUCUAUAGGUUGUACAACUGAAUCCUUAAUCCCUAAGGAGACAGAGAUCAAAGUCUGGACGAUGAAGCAUAACCUCUUGACCUGAGCGUGAAUGCCUGUCGGGUUUUGGGCGGUAGUCCAUCUCCCAUUAGCGGAGGAUCGUUCCCUGGUUGACUGGUUCGGCCGGGGAUGGUCUUGAGGUUGUCUGACAGACC